rnacentral:rRNA from 1 species
UACGAAGGGGGCUAGCGUUGCUCGGAAUGACUGGGCGUAAAGGGCGCGUAGGCGGAUGGCACAGUCAGAUGUGAAAUUCCCGGGCUUAACCUGGGGGCUGCAUUUGAUACGUGUUGUCUAGAGUGAGGAAGAGGGUUGUGGAAUUCCCGGUGUAGCGGUGAAAUGCGUAGAGAUCGGGAGGAACACCAGUGGCGAAGGCGGCACCCUGGACCAGCACUGACACUGAGGCACGAAAGCGUGGGGAGCAAACAGG